rnacentral:rRNA from 1 species
AACGAACGCUGGCGGCAUGCCUAACACAUGCAAGUCGAACGUUCCCUUCGGGGAUAGUGGCGCACGGGUGCGUAACGCGUGGGAACCUGCCCUUAGGUUCGGAAUAACUCAGAGAAAUUUGAGCUAAUACCGGAUAAUGUCUUCGGACCAAAGAUUUAUCGCCUUUGGAUGGGCCCGCGUUGGAUUAGCUAGUUGGUGGGGUAAAGGCCUACCAAGGCGACGAUCCAUAGCUGGUCUGAGAGGAUGAUCAGCCACACUGGGACUGAGACACGGCCCAGACUCCUACGGGAGGCAGCAGUGGGGAAUAUUGGACAAUGGGCGAAAGCCUGAUCCAGCAAUGCCGCGUGAGUGAUGAAGGCCUUAGGGUUGUAAAGCUCUUUUACCCGGGAUGAUAAUGACAGUACCGGGAGAAUAAGCCCCGGCUAACUCCGUG